rnacentral:rRNA from 1 species
UACGUAGGGUGCAAGCGUUGUCCGGAAUUAUUGGGCGUAAAGAGCUCGUAGGCGGUUUGUCGCGUCUGCUGUGAAAACUCGGGGCUUAACCCCGGGCCUGCAGUGGGUACGGGCAGACUAGAGUGCGGUAGGGGAGACUGGAAUUCCUGGUGUAGCGGUGAAAUGCGCAGAUAUCAGGAGGAACACCGGUGGCGAAGGCGGGUCUCUGGGCCGAUACUGACGCUGAGGAGCGAAAGCGUGGGGGGCGAACAGG